rnacentral:rRNA from 1 species
GAUGAACGCUAGCGAUAGGCUUAACACAUGCAAGUCGAGGGGCAGCAAGACAAUAGCAAUAUUGUUGUUGGCGACCGGCGCACGGGUGAGUAACGCGUAUGCAACCUACCUACAACAAGGGAAUAGCCCGGCGAAAGUCGGAUUAAUACCGUAUAACACAGGGAUCCCGCAUGGGAAUAUUUGUUAAAGAUUUAUCGGUUGUAGAUGGGCAUGCGUAACAUUAGCUUGUUGGUGAGGUAACGGCUCACCAAGGCUACGAUGUUUAGGGGUUCUGAGAGGAAGGUACCCCACACGGGUACUGGGACACGGACGAGACUCCUACGGGAGGCAGCAGUGAGGAAUAUUGGUCAAUGGGCGAGAGCCUGAACCAGCCAAAUCGCGUGAAGGAUGAAGGUAUUCUGUAUUGUAAACUUCUUUUAUACGGGAAUAAAGUGCAUCACGUGUGAUGUUUUGUAUGUACCGUACGAAUAAGCACCGGCUAACUCCGUGCCAGCCGCCGCAGUAACAC